rnacentral:rRNA from 1 species
AUUGAACGCUGGCGGCAGGCCUAACACAUGCCAGUCGAGCGGAUGAAGGGAGCUUGCUCCUGGAUUCAGCGGCGGACGGGUGAGUAAUGCCUAGGAAUCUGCCUGGUAGUGGGGGAUAACGUCCGGAAACGGGCGCUAAUACCGCAUACGUCCUGAGGGAGAAAGUGGGGGAUCUUCGGACCUCACGCUAUCAGAUGAGCCUAGGUCGGAUUAGCUAGUUGGUGGGGUAAAGGCCUACCAAGGCGACGAUCCGUAACUGGUCUGAGAGGAUGAUCAGUCACACUGGAACUGAGACACGGUCCAGACUCCUACGGGAGGCAGCAGUGGGGAAUAUUGGACAAUGGGCGAAAGCCUGAUCCAGCCAUGCCGCGUGUGUGAAGAAGGUCUUCGGAUUGUAAAGAACUUUAAGUUGGGAGGAAGGGCAGUAAGUUAAUACCUUGCUGUUUUGACGUUACCAACAGAAUAAGCACCGGCUAACUUCGUG